rnacentral:rRNA from 1 species
UAGAGGAAGUAAAAGUCGUAACAAGGUCUCCGUUGGUGAACCAGCGGAGGGAUCAUUACUGAGUUUACGCUCUACAACCCUUUGUGAACAUACCUAUAACUGUUGCUUCGGCGGGUAGGGUCUCCGUGACCCUCCCGGCCUCCCGCCCCCGGGCGGGUCGGCGCCCGCCGGAGGAUAACCAAACUCUGAUUUAACGACGUUUCUUCUGAGUGGUACAAGCAAAUAAUCAAAACUUUUAACAACGGAUCUCUUGGUUCUGGCAUCGAUGAAGAACGCAGCGAAAUGCGAUAAGUAAUGUGAAUUGCAGAAUUCAGUGAAUCAUCGAAUCUUUGAACGCACAUUGCGCCCGCCAGCAUUCUGGCGGGCAUGCCUGUUCGAGCGUCAUUUCAACCCUCAAGCUCUGCUUGGUGUUGGGGCCCUACAGCUGAUGUAGGCCCUCAAAGGUAGUGGCGGACCCUCCCGGAGCCUCCUUUGCGUAGUAACUUUACGUCUCGCACUGGGAUCCGGAGGGACUCUUGCCGUAAAACCCCCCAAUUUUCCAAAGGUUGACCUCGGAUCAGGUAGGAAUACCCGCUGAACUUAAGCAUAUCAAUA